UACGAAGGGGGCUAGCGUUGCUCGGAAUCACUGGGCGUAAAGGGUGCGUAGGCGGGUCUUUAAGUCAGGGGUGAAAUCCUGGAGCUCAACUCCAGAACUGCCUUUGAUACUGAAGAUCUUGAGUUCGGGAGAGGUGAGUGGAACUGCGAGUGUAGAGGUGAAAUUCGUAGAUAUUCGCAAGAACACCAGUGGCGAAGGCGGCUCACUGGCCCGAUACUGACGCUGAGGCACGAAAGCGCGGGGAGCAAACGGG
rnacentral:rRNA from 1 species